AUUGAACGCUGGCGGCAGGCCUAACACAUGCAAGUCGAGCGGUUGACGGGAGCUUGCUCCCUGAUUCAGCGGCGGACGGGUGAGUAAUGCCUAGGAAUCUGCCUAUUAGUGGGGGACAACGUUUCGAAAGGGACGCUAAUACCGCAUACGUCCUACGGGAGAAAGCAGGGGACCUUCGGGCCUUGCGCUAAUAGAUGAGCCUAGGUCGGAUUAGCUUGUUGGUGAGGUAAUGGCUCACCAAGGCGACGAUCCGUAACUGGUCUGAGAGGAUGAUCAGUCACACUGGAACUGAGACACGGUCCAGACUCCUACGGGAGGCAGCAGUGGGGAAUAUUGGACAAUGGGCGAAAGCCUGAUCCAGCCAUGCCGCGUGUGUGAAGAAGGUCUUCGGAUUGUAAAGCACUUUAAGUUGGGGGGAAGGGUUGUAGAUUAAUACUCUGCAAUUUUGACGUUACCGACAGAAUAAGCACCGGCUAACUUUGUGCCAGCCGCCGCGGUAAGAC
rnacentral:rRNA from 1 species